rnacentral:lncRNA from 1 species
AGCUCCUUUAAUGAGCAAAUAAAGUUUUAAAUAUACUUUACACAAUAAGAACGAAGCUCUUUUGAUUUUUCUCAAGGUGGUUGAAGACUUGAAUGAGCUCUUGAGGGGUUGGUGAACUUGAAAUAAAAGCUUCUUGAACUUUUAAGAGGGCUCUUGCUUAGGGUUGAAAUGAAUGCUUGAAGAACCUUUUCAAAAUCUUGUUGAUUCCCUC